UACGUAGGGGGCAAGCGUUGUCCGGAAUCAUUGGGCGUAAAGCGCGUGUAGGCGGCUCGGUAAGUCUGCUGUGAAAGUCCAGGGCUCAACCCUGGGAUGCCGGUGGAUACUGUCGAGCUCGAGUCCGGAAGAGGCGAGUGGAAUUCCUGGUGUAGCGGUGAAAUGCGCAGAUAUCAGGAAAACACCCGAUGGCGAAAGCGGCUAGCAUCUCGGGAGCGGUACUGGACGCUGAGACGCGAAAGCGUGGGGAGCGAACAGG
rnacentral:rRNA from 1 species